UGUCCUACGGGACGCAGCAGUGAGGAAUAUUGGUCAAUGGGCUUACGCCUGAACCAGCCAAGUCGCGUGAGGGAAGACGGUCCUAUGGAUUGUAAACCUCUUUAGGCGGGGAGCAAUGCCGGGCACGUGUGCCCGGAGGGAGAGUACCCGCAGAGUAAGCAUCGGCUAACUCCGUGCCAGCAGCCGCGGUAAUACGGAGGAUGCGAGCGUUAUCCGGAUUUAUUGGGUUUAAAGGGUGCGCAGGCGGAUUUUUAAGUCAGCGGUAAAAUGUCCGGGCUCAACCCGGGCCGGCCGUUGAAACUGGG
rnacentral:rRNA from 1 species